rnacentral:rRNA from 1 species
UACGUAGGUCCCGAACGUUGCGCGAAUUUACUGGGCGUAAAGGGUCCGUAGGCGGUUUAGCAAGUGGUUGGUGAAAUUUCACGGCUCAACCGUGAAACUGCCUUCCAAACUGCUAAACUUGAGGCAGGGAGAGGUCGGCGGAAUUCCAGGUGUAGCGGUGAAAUGCGUAGAUAUCGGGAGGAACUCCAGUGGCGAAGGCGGCCGACUGGAACUGUCCUGACGCGGAGGGACGAAAGCUAGGGGAGCAAACCGG